GAUGAACGCUGGCGGCGUGCCUAAUACAUGCAAGUCGAGCGAAUGGAUUAAGAGCUUGCUCUUAUGAAGUUAGCGGCGGACGGGUGAGUAACACGUGGGUAACCUGCCCAUAAGACUGGGAUAACUCCGGGAAACCGGGGCUAAUACCGGAUAAUAUUUUGAACUGCAUGGUUCAAAAUUGAAAGGCGGCUUCGGCUGUCACUUAUGGAUGGACCCGCGUCGCAUUAGCUAGUUGGUGAGGUAACGGCUCACCAAGGCAACGAUGCGUAGCCGAGCUGAGAGGGUGAUCGGCCACACUGAGACUGAGACACGGCACAGACUCCUACGGGAGGCAGCAGUAGGGAAUCUUCCGCAAUGGACGAAAGUCUGACGGAGCAACGCCGCGUGAGUGAUGAAGGCUUUCGGGUCGUAAAACUCUGUUGUUAGGGAAGAACAAGUGCUAGUUGAAUAAGCUGGCACCUUGACGGUACCUAACCAGAAAGCCACGGCUAACUACGUGCCAGCCGCCGCGGUAA
rnacentral:rRNA from 1 species